CAGAAAUUUAACUUUCCGGAAUAUAACGGAAAUUUUCGGGUAUCUCCGUGGUACCAUCUCCGUGCAAUUAUGCAGUAUGGCGUUCAUCUCUUACAGAAAGAGAAUGGUAACUUGAUACACUGUGUUGUGUGUGGAUAAGAAAUGCAGAGUGGUACCACCAAUCACCUAAGCCACCAUUCCCCUAACAGACAAAAGGCUCAUGGGGACAGUUCCUGCAGUUUACAGCAAAUUGUAGCCCUACAAACUUCAGAUACUGCCAAGCUUGGGUGCACUGGGCCGGUUAUCCAGCCGUGUGGAAUCAACAUCUCCAGCUGAACUUGGGCCGGGAAUUAUAUAAGAAUCCUUAGCAGCAUGAGUGCCAGCCAGUCAUUGCUGUUCUUUGCAUUGCUGAGGAGGACAGUCCUGCCAAUA